GUAUGAGCUGAAUAGAUUAAGACGAGAGUCUUCAUCGGGUAACGUAACAUAGAUUUGCUUUUCUAAACGUCUGAGUAAAGCUGCGUCGAUGUUCCUAGUAAGAAUUUUAUGUUGACUCAUUACUACUUUACCUUCAGCAGUGAAUCAUAGCUGCUUAUUGUACAUACUUACCAAGGAGCAUUAGUAGCAGCCAAAAGCAUGACAUUUGAACCCUCAGAAAUGUUGGUGAAAGUUUCAGAAACAAGAAAGGGAAACAAGCGUACAACACAGAGCUUACCUGUACCAGGUGGCCCAUACAG